rnacentral:rRNA from 1 species
GGCUUAGAGUUUGAUCAUGGCUCAGGAUGAACGCUGGCGGCGUGCUUAACACAUGCAAGUCGAACGGAGUGCUCAUGACGGAGGAUUCGUCCAACGGAUUGAGUUACUUAGUGGCGGACGGGUGAGUAACGCGUGAGGAACCUGCCUCGGAGUGGGGAAUAACAGCCCGAAAGGGUUGCUAAUACCGCAUGAUGCAGUUGGGUCGCAUGACUCUGACUGCCAAAGAUUUAUCGCUCUGAGAUGGCCUCGCGUCUGAUUAGCUAGUUGGCGGGGUAACGGCCCACCAAGGCGACGAUCAGUAGCCGGACUGAGAGGUUGACCGGCCACAUUGGGACUGAGACACGGCCCAGACUCCUACGGGAGGCAGCAGUGGGGAAUAUUGGGCAAUGGGCGCAAGCCUGACCCAGCAACGCCGCGUGAAGGAUGAAGGCUUUCGGGUUGUAAACUUCUUUUAUUCGGGACGAAGAAAAUGACGGUACCGAAUGAAUAAGCCACGGCUAACUACGUGCCAGCAGCCGCGGUAAUACGUAGGUGGCAAGCGUUAUCCGGAUUUACUGGGUGUAAAGGGCGUGUAGGCGGGACUGCAAGUCAGAUGUGAAAACUAUGGGCUCAACCCAUAGCCUGCAUUUGAAACUGUAGUUCUUGAGUGCUGGAGAGGCAGAUGGAAUUAAGCC